rnacentral:RNase_P_RNA from 18 species
UAAUGAUAGUUGGUUGCUAUAAGUUUCUUAUAGAGGAAAGUCCAUGCUAGCACUAUCUGAGAUGAUAGUAGUGUUUGUUGCAGGUAUAUAAAAAAUAAAACCUGGAAGAUUUACUCUUACGACACAACAAAACCUAAAAUGGUUGCAUUAUGGUUGAGUUGUAUAAAGUGCCACAGAGACGAGCAAAGAAGAAAUUCUUGAUAUGAAACGCGGUAAACUCCACAAGCUAGAAACCUAAAUUUGGUAAGGGAACUGGUUAUAAAAGAAUUCAAUUUUAUAAACGGAAGAAUGUAUGUUCUUAGAUAAAUAACCAACGUCUAGAUAAUAGAUACAGAACAUGGCUUAUUUCA